rfam:Otolemur garnettii contig026968, whole genome shotgun sequence.
AUUCUCACUUUUGAACAUGUGCUAAAAUUGGAACAAUACAGAGAAGAUUAGAAUGGCCCCUGUAUAAGGAUGAUAUGCAAAUUUGUGAAGAUUCCAUAUUUAA